AGCGAACGCUGGCGGUAUGCUUAACACAUGCAAGUCGAGCGCGAAAGUGACUUCGGUCAUGAGUAGAGCGGCGGACGGGUGAGUAACACGUGGAUAAUCUGCCUUUAGGACUGGGAUAACCCUGGGAAACUAGGGCUAAUACCGGAUAAGACCACAGGUUCCAUGGAACCAGGGGUAAAAGGCGGCCUUCGGGCUGUCGCCGAAAGAUGAGUCCGCGUCCCAUCAGGUAGUUGGUGAGGUAACGGCUCACCAAGCCGAAGACGGGUAGCCGACCUUAGCGGGUGAUCGGCCACACGGGGACUGAGACACGGCCCCGACUCCUACGGGAGGCAGCAGUGGGGAAUCUUGGGCAAUGGGCGCAAGCCUGACCCAGCAAUA
rnacentral:rRNA from 1 species